GGCAGUCUUUAAAAAAAUGACUUAAUAAAAAGCAUUUUUGGUCUGUUAUACAAAAUUGGAGCAGCAAACAAGAAAAUAGUCUAAGGUUACAGUUACAAUCAUUCAGGAAUAUUGCAUUUACAAAUUAAACAGCACAACUCCUCUUCCUCCCGAUAUCCGCAAAAUCCACAUACAGACAUCUGAUGUCUACACAACAAAUACGAAAACAGUGGGGAACGGAGGACCCACAAUUGAAUCAACUAAACCUUCAAAAAUGUGUCUUAAUGCAGUAAAAAGUAACAAAUAUUCUCUAAUACUCAAAUUUUAAGAAAACUUUAGAUAAAAAAAAUAAAAAUAAAAUAAUAAUAAAAAAAAGAAGCAAACAGUGAUUAACAGAUCAGAAAGUCCACUUCCAGAUCUUGAUUCUCAGAU
rnacentral:misc_RNA from 1 species